GUUCCCCCUAUCGACAGGACAGGAUGGCACUUCUCGAUUACCCUAUUCCAGAGCUAGAUGUCACCUUACAAGAGGCAGGCCGUGUGCUCCAGCUCACCCUGAGCCCCGAGCUCUACUCUCAAUUCAAAAACACCCUUAGCCAACAGAGGGAGGUCCUGCAGGAGGCCCAAAAGUGCUUGGCGGCUGCCGCCUCUGGCCGAGAGAACUGGGUGACAGAGCAAUUCAAGAACCGGCUGCUUUCAUGUACCGACCCCCUGCCCACCUCGACAGCCAUCCCCGCUGUCCUGCCCCCCUCCAGAGCCAAGAAGGAGUGUGCCCAACUGGAGAGGGCUGCUGCUCUGCUCUGGGCUGUGGCCAAGAUGUAUAGUGAGCCUUCGCUGGUAGAGGGCGAGGGGCAAACUGAGCGCACACAGCAAUCAGAGGUGUUUGCUGCCAGCCGCAUUCCUGGGAAGACCCAAGAUGAGAUUAAAGUAUACCCAGACUGCCUCCAUGCCAUCGUAAUCUGUGCUAGAGGGGUAUUUUCAGUCAACAUACUGCAGCAUCCCAGCCCAGGCGGGCCUAUGUCCCCUCUACCUUUCCCUGACAUCUACAGACAAGUGGUUUAUGUGAUGAGCCAACAUAGAGCUGCCAAGAACAACGAGCCCUCUGCCAUCUGCGGCCUCUCUGCCCUGCAGCGGCAAGCCUGGAGUGCUGUGAGGGAGGAGAUCCUGAGAGCAGGUGGGGCAGCGGCAACCUCACUGGGGUUGAUGGAGAGUGCUGUGGUGGCUCUCUCCCUGGAAGACUGCAAUCCACCAGCUGAUCUGGCAGACACCCUUAACGCUGUCAGACUGGGAGGAGGAGAUGGGCCCUGUCUGAGAUACUAUGACAAGGUACAGUAUGGGAUGUUUGUGGUACUGUAAUUUUGGAUGACAACUACUACAAUACAGUACAGUGAUGCCGUAGUGAAUCAACUGGAUUCAUCAGGUUACUGGAUGAGGAUAUGGUAUUGAUUUUCUGUGUGGACAAAAAUAUACCCAAGAUAAUGGAGUUAAAUCAAUUUUUCAAUAUUGAAUCAAAUUGUAAGUGGAUCUUUACUGCACAUCAGACAUACGUAAUUGCACCCAACAAACUUCAGUUUAUUAACUCACUGACACAUAUUAACUCACUUGAAAACAUAGGUUCCUCUUUAGGUCAACUAUUUUCCUAUACUUUUUCUACAGGUGGUGAACCUGGUGGUAU
rnacentral:lncRNA from 8 species